rnacentral:rRNA from 1 species
GACGAACGCUGGCGGCGUGCUUAACACAUGCAAGUCGAACGGAAAGGCCCUGCUUUUGUGGGGUGCUCGAGUGGCGAACGGGUGAGUAACACGUGAGUAACCUGCCCUUGACUUUGGGAUAACUUCAGGCAACUGGGGCUAAUACCGGAUAGGAGCUCCUGCUGCAUGGUGGGGGUUGGAAAGUUUCGGCGGUUGGGGAUGGACGCGCGGCUUAUCAGCUUGUUGGUGGGGUAGUGGCUUACCAAGGCUUUGACGGGUAGCCGGCCUGAGAGGGUGACCGGCCACAUUGGGACUGAGAUACGGCCCAGACUCCUACGGGAGGCAGCAGUGGGGAAUAUUGCACAAUGGGCGGAAGCCUGAUGCAGCAACGCCGCGUGCGGGAUGACGGCCUUCGGGUUGUAAACCGCUUUCGCCUGUGACGAAGCGUGAGUGACGGUAAUGGGUAAAGAAGCACCGGCUAACUACGUG